UCACAAAUAUGGAGCUUUGAUCCUGACAGCUUCCUUUCACUCAGGGGGAGCAGGGAGGGUUUGACAUGGGGAAGCAGGAAAGGCUAUAGAGAAAGGGGUCUUGUUUGUUUCCUGGGUGGAUUGCCUCCUUCUUGGCACUCCUCCAGGAAGCAAGUCUUUUCCUGCCCUAAAACAUUAGGGACAUAAAUCUCUCUGUCCUGUGUAAGAGACCCAGAGAGGCCAGGGGCAGUCACAUAAGCUCUGUCAGGUCCUGCGUGACCUUCAGGGUGGCCAGUGUGUGACCAGGGAGGCUGUAACCCCUGACUGGGACAGGAAAAUGGGUGUCAACCCAACCCAGGGAGAAGAGGGGUGUUGCUAUGAGGUUCUGGAUCCCAGGGGGUAACAACUGUUACUAGCAACCUUAGCAGAAGAGCUAUCCUGAAAAUGAUCUUGCAGGGAAGGAAACCUAGAGGAGAGGAUUCUUUAGAGAGCAGUCUGAAGAGGGAAGCAUAAAGAAGACUGAGUCCAGGACCCCAGAGGCUAAAGUGGGACACUGUGCAGAACCCAAGAGAGAAGCAGGAAGUGUGAUGAAUGGACACCAGCCCACAAGACAUAACCCCAACUUUCAGUCUAGAAACAGGAAGAGAGAGAGAGAGAAGGGGGGAGGGAGAGAGAGAGAAGAUAGCAGGAGGAAUGAGGCCCCUACAAUGAGUGAACAUCUGUGGUUUCUUAUAGUUUUAGAUUCUUUGACAUCUGUUCUCAUAACUGUGCCCCAGGUUCUGUCUGGAGUUUAAACCACACUUUGAAUGAGAUCUGCUUCCCAGCUCUAGUCAAGGUCUGUUUAUGAGACUGGCCCUGGGGACUUAGAAAUUUGAAGGAGACAAACUAUAUUGUGAAAAAGAAGUAUUUUAAUACUUAUAAUUAGGAAAUUUGAUUCAGAAUAUCAAGCUGCCUGUCUGUCUAAUGUGUGCCGUGAAGUUCCACCACCCAGAGGGCAGUCUGGGUUCAUGUUAUUUCAUGUCAGUGAAUGAAGACACUUCUCUCCCUAACCAGCCCUUCUCCUGCCAUUCUUCCACUCUGCUCUGGCAACCAGUUUCUGAUUCUGAGGCUCAUUUAGGUUCAGACUUUAGCCUUUUUUUGAGAAAUCUUAGAAGCUAUGGCGGUGUCUCCUUGUCUUGCUAUUUGGGCAGAGUGGUUUCUGGAAUGCAACAGAGAUGUUCACAAGUACCCAGGGAAUUUGCUUCCUACUUCCCCCUCUCCUGACCAUCAGGAUAGAAAUUUGAACAAGGAGAACCAUCUUUUCAAUAAUCCCUUUUCAGAAGUUACAUUUGUGGCUAGGUUGGUUGUCAUUCUUUUUUUUUUUUUUUUUUCCCUGCACCAGUAAUUUUAUGAAGUGGAAAAUGACUGAACUUACCUGGCAGGGCUCUCUAUUGCCAAAGGCCAGCUCCCAAAUCCCCAAGGUGUGAGGGCUGGGUUCUCCCCAGCAUGUUCUUUUCAAUAAACAUGCCUACACUUGGCCUUUUACUCCAACUACCCGUCUCUGCCCUCCCAGCGCCUAGAGCUUUCCACCUUGGCUCUGCUUCCUUUAAGCCUGCCCUCAGCCUUCCAAUUGAGGGUUGACCUUGGCUGAGCGCCCCACGUGGUCAUUCUCUUUGUAAAAAGUAGAAAAUCUAAGGCACAGAUUUCUGCACUUGGCCUCUCUGCAGAACAGAACUCUCUGGAACUGCAAGCAUAUGCAGAUUCAGAAAAAGUUCUAUUUUACCAGAAAUGUGUUUACUAAACUGAACUUGGCCUCUGGUGCCCCUGCUGCUGAGUCCCUAUGAGAUGGGCCUCCAACUUGGGCUUAUGUAGCACCUGUGAACAAGUCUGGUUUCUUUGCUUGCAAAUAUCUCACAUCUGACUUCCAACUGGCUGAUGUCUCCAAUAUCACAGUUCACUUCCCACUCUGGAAGACGAAACUCACCUAGGGUGUGCUUCCCGCACCUUGAGGUGUUUUACCAAAGACUCUUGUAAACCUUGCAAUGCAAAAUUUACAACUGACAGUACUGUCUAUUAAUAGGAUGGCUGGGGCGAUACAGUGAGGUAGCUAUUUAGCUCAAUGCUCAUUUGGAGGUUUUUUUUUUUUUUUUUUUCCAAUUGUUAAUUGGUUCAGCUAAAAUCAGGUAUUGCUGAUAAGGAAACAGUCUGUAAGGAAAUUAAAGAAACAGUUAGGUGGGGACACUUUGGAUCUCUGGUUUCUUUGUUGUUUACUUUAUGACAUAUCUCCCCAAAUGCACAGGAUAUUAAGUCUCACCCUAAUCUAUCAAAGAGGGAUGGACUAGGGGGUUUGAUAACCUCCAUUCCUUGGCUUCUGAUCUGUGAUUAGAAAGAACUUUGCAAUUUUUUAGCUGUGUGAGCCUAAAAUCUUUGAACCUCAGUCUCCUUGUUGGUAGAAUGGGACCACAGUUGGGAGAGGACUGAAGAUUAAGUAAGAUAAUGCUUGAUAAUCAACUCCUGGUACCAGAGCUUCUUUGAUCCUGUUCAAGAUUCUCCCUCCUGCCAUCUUGGUUUUUCGUGACCCCCUGACAAAUGAAGUGGAACGAUGUGGCCCAGCCCUUUCCUUUCUGUCUCCAGUCUAAUCUACUUGAUUCUCCACUUUUUCUUCCUUAUUCAAUUAAUCCUUUUCUGUCUGAUGCCUAUGUUGUGUUGUUUAUAUUUAUAAGAGUAUAUAGAGAUUUAUAGGAGUAUAUAUAGU